rnacentral:rRNA from 1 species
UACGUAGGGGCCUAGCGUUGUCCGGAUUUAUUGGGCGUAAAGGGCUCGUAGGCGGUUUGUCGCGUCGGGAGUGAAAUCCACUGGCUUAACUGGUGGCUUGCUUUCGAUACGGGCAGACUGGAGGUAUGCAGGGGAGAACGGAAUUCCUGGUGUAGCGGUGAAAUGCGCAGAUAUCAGGAGGAACACCGGUGGCGAAGGCGGUUCUCUGGGCCUUACCUGACGCUGAGGAGCGAAAGCGUGGGGAGCGAACAGG